UACGUAGGGGGCAAGCGUUGUCCGGAAUCAUUGGGCGUAAAGAGCGUGUAGGCGGCUCGAUAAGUCUGCUGUGAAGGUCCAGGGCUCAACCCUGGAAGGCCGGUGGAAACUGUCGGGCUAGAGUCCGGAAGAGGCGAGUGGAAUUCCCGGUGUAGCGGUGAAAUGCGCAGAUAUCGGGAGGAACACCAAUGGCGAAGGCAGCUCGCUGAGACGGUACUGACGCUGAGACGCGAAAGCGUGGGGAGCAAACAGG
rnacentral:rRNA from 1 species